CGGACGGGUGAGUAACACGUGGAUAACCUACCUAUAAGACUGGGAUAACUUCGGGAAACCGGAGCUAAUACCGGAUAAUAUUUUGAACCGCAUGGUUCAAAAGUGGAAGACGGUCUUGCUGUCACUUAUAGAUGGAUCCGCGCUGCAUUAGCUAGUUGGUAAGGUAACGGCUUACCAAGGCAACGAUGCAUAGCCGACCUGAGAGGGUGAUCGGCCACACUGGAACUGAGACACGGUCCAG
rnacentral:rRNA from 1 species